rnacentral:rRNA from 1 species
UGGCCAAGGAACUCGGCAAAAUAACCCCGUAACUUCGGAAGAAGGGGUGCUCUCUAGGGUGACAUGUUUAACAUAUGAAGCCCCGGGGAGCCGCAGUGAAUUGGUGGUGGCGACUGUUUACUAAAAACAUAGGUCUGUGCGAAGUCCUAAAGACGACGUAUACGGACUGACGCCUGCCCGGUGCUGGAAGGUUAAAAGGAGGGGUCAGCGCAAGCAAAGCUCCGAAUUGAAGCCCCAGUAAACGGCGGCCGUAACUAUAACGGUCCUAAGGUAGCGAAAUUCCUUGUCGGGUAAGUUCCGACCUGCACGAAUGGCGUAACGAUCUCCACACUGUCUCGGCCAGAGACUCGGUGAAAUUGCAGUCGCGGUGAAAAUUCCGUGUACCCGCAGAAAGACGGAAAGACCCUGUGCACCUUUACUAUAGCUUGACAUUGGAUUUUGGGCCUGCAUGUGUAGGAUAGGUGGGAGGCUGUGAACCCUGUACGCCAGUAUGGGGGGAGCCAUCCUUGAAAUACCACCCUUGCAUGUUUAAGAUCUAACUUCUUCCGGUUAUCCCGGAGAAAGACAGUGUCUGGCGGGUAGUUUGACUGGGGCGGUCGCCUCCUAAAGUGUAACGGAGGCAUGCAAAGGUUCCCUCAGCCUGAUCGGAAACCAGGCGCUGAGUGCAAACGCAUAAGGGAGCUUGACUGUAAGAGAGACAUCUCGAACAGGAACGAAAGUUGGCGUUAGUGAUCCGGUGGUCCCGUAUGGAAGGGCCAUCGCUCAUUGGAUAAAAGGUACGCCGGGGAUAACAGGCUGAUCGCAUCCAAGAGUUCACAUCGACGAUGCGGUUUGGCACCUCGAUGUCGGCUCAUCACAUCCUGGGGCUGAAGCAGGUCCCAAGGGUACGGCUGUUCGCCGUUUAAAGUGGUACGCGAGCUGGGUUUAAAACGUCGUGAGACAGUUUGGUCCCUAUCUUCUGUGGGCGAAGGAGAAUUGAGAGGGCCUGUCCCUAGUACGAGAGGACCGGGAUGGACGCACCCCUGGUGAUCCUGUUGUCGCGCCAGCGGCAUAGCAGGGUAGCUAUGUGCGGAAGGGAUAACCGCUGAAAGCAUCUAAGCGGGAAGCCUGCCUCAAGAUAAGUUCUCCCCUCGAAAGAGCUGAAGGGCCCGGGUAGACUACCCGGUCGAUAGGCUGGAGGUGUAAGCGCGGCGACGUGCUCAGCUGACCAGUACUAAUAGCCCGAGCGGCUUAUUUUU